GGGUGAGUGGCGGAACUGGCAUACGCGCGGCACUUAAAAUGCCGUGGGGUAACCCUUGAGGGUUCGAGUCCCUCCUCACCCA
rfam:Parcubacteria bacterium GW2011_GWA1_45_10 TW85_C0010, whole genome shotgun sequence.